GAUGAACGCUGGCGGCGUGCCUAAUACAUGCAAGUCGAGCGAACAGACGAGGAGCUUGCUCCUCUGACGUUAGCGGCGGACGGGUGAGUAACACGUGGAUAACCUACCUAUAAGACUGGGAUAACUUCGGGAAACCGGAGCUAAUACCGGAUAAUAUAUUGAACCGCAUGGUUCAAUAGUGAAAGACGGUUUUGCUGUCACUUAUAGAUGGAUCCGCGCCGCAUUAGCUAGUUGGUAAGGUAACGGCUUACCAAGGCAACGAUGCGUAGCCGACCUGAGAGGGUGAUCGGCCACACUGGAACUGAGACACGGUCCAGACUCCUACGGGAGGCAGCAGUAGGGAAUCUUCCGCAAUGGGCGAAAGCCUGACGGAGCAACGCCGCGUGAGUGAUGAAGGUCUACGGAUCGUAAAACUCUGUUAUUAGGGAAGAACAAAUGUGUAAGUAACGAUGCACGUCUUGACGGUACCUAAUCAGAGAGCCACGGCUAACUACGU
rnacentral:rRNA from 1 species